AUUGAACGCUGGCGGCAUGCUUUACACAUGCAAGUCGAACGGCAGCGGGGGCUUCGGUCCGCCGGCGAGUGGCGAACGGGUGAGUAAUGCAUCGGAACGUGCCCAGUCGUGGGGGAUAACACAUCGAAAGAUGUGCUAAUACCGCAUACGUCCUGAGGGAGAAAGCGGGGGAUCUUCGGACCUCGCGCGAUUGGAGCGGCCGAUGUCGGAUUAGCUAGUUGGUGGGGUAAAGGCCCACCAAGGCGACGAUCCGUAGCGGGUCUGAGAGGAUGAUCCGCCACACUGGGACUGAGACACGGACCAGACUCCUACGGGAGGCAGCAGUGAGGAAUAUUGGUCAAUGGACGCAAGUCUGAACCAGCCACGUCGCGUGAAGGAAGACGGCCCUACGGGUUGUAAACUUCUUUUAUACGGGAAUAAAGUGCCCCACGCGUGGGUUUUGCAUGUACCGUAUGAAUAAGGAUCGGCUAACUCCGUGCCAGCAGCCGCGGU
rnacentral:rRNA from 1 species